CCCAGACUCCUACGGGAGGCAGCAGUGGGGAAUAUUGCACAAUGGGGGGAACCCUGAUGCAGCGACGCCGCGUGAGUGAAGAAGUCUUUCGGUAUGUAAAGCUCUAUCAGCAGGGAAGAAAAUGACGGUACCUGACUAAGAAGCCCCGGCUAACUACGUGCCAGCAGCCGCGGUAAUACGUAGGGGGCAAGCGUUAUCCGGAUUUACUGGGUGUAAAGGGAGCGUAGACGGCAUGGCAAGUCAGAUGUGAAAGCCCGGGGCUCAACCCCGGGACUGCAUUUGAAACUGUCAGGCUGGAGUGCAGGAGAGGUAAGUGGAAUUCCUAGUGUAGCGGUGAAAUGCGUAGAUAUUAGGAGGAACACCAGUGGCGAAGGCGGCUUACUGGACUGUAACUGACGUUGAGGCUCGAAAGCGUGGGGAGCAAACAGGAUUAGAUACCCCAGUAUAA
rnacentral:rRNA from 1 species